rnacentral:rRNA from 1 species
UACGGGGGGGGCAAGCGUUGUUCGGAAUUACUGGGCGUAAAGGGCUCGUAGGUGGCCAACUAAGUCAGACGUGAAAUCCCUCGGCUUAACCGGGGAACUGCGUCUGAUACUGGAUGGCUUGAGAUUGGGAGAGGGAUGCGGAAUUCCAGGUGUAGCGGUGAAAUGCGUAGAUAUCUGAAGGAACACCGGUGGCGAAGGCGGCAUCCUGGACCAACACUGACGCUGAGGAACGAAAGCCAGGGGAGCAAACGGG